UUGAUAGAGGUGCGAAAUUGAUAAGUAGCGCGUCACGGGUUUAAAGUCCGUGGGAUUGUUCCGCUUUUCGGAAAGCGCGGCGCAAAAGGCAAUUUCGCCGAGGAGUGUACGUUCCGAAGCGUGCAUAUCCGGUCGUACGUUGAACAGGCGUGCGACUGUCAUCGACUUGCUUGAUGGAGUGCUAUCG
rnacentral:ncRNA from 1 species